UUUACCUCUGAAAAAAUAAAGAUAAAAUCUCAUCGCUAUCCGAUCGCUUAAAACCCUAGAAACCCUAGCCGAUAAAUUCUCAUCUCUAUCCGAUCGCUUAAAACCCUAGAAGCCCUAGCCGAUUCUGUGUAUGAAGGGACCUGAAUUUGACUCUACGGCUAGUAUCAGUGCCUAGAAGAUGAAUGGGUUCCCGAAAUGCAGGUCAUCUUUCUCACUUUGCCAAUUAGAUCUAAUUCUCCAUGUCUAGCUGGCCAUUCAAAGAUGCAACAUUUCUCGUAAGUUUUCUUUUUCAGUUUCUUUCUAAGUUACAUGGGGCCGAUAAGUUUGGAUCUUUGGCUACUGUGAAUGCCUCAGAGGCGAAUACGGUUACCAAAAUAAAUUUAAUCUUACUGGGUCUGUUGGAAAAUAUCCACUUCCACUGGGUUGUUUAAAGAUUGAACAGUGAAGCACUUUCGUGGAUUAAUUAGGGUUUUUAUUUUCUAUGCUCUUGUGCAUGUUUUAUCACAACUUUCCAGCUUUUAGGUAUUGUUGAUUUAAAGAGUAAGGUGAGUAAAGGAUUAACCGUUUUGGAGUGGAGAUUAAAACGAUUACUUGAUGGAAAAUGAGAGAACCAAAAUUACUCGGUCAAAGGUUUCAGGUAGAUUAUGCAUAUUUUAUUUCUCUCUGAUAACUUUUGUGCUUUUUGUUUUCUUGCCGUUUCACAUGUUGACAAGCCACUUACAUUAGGUAUUUGUGAGGAUGAAUCAGCUUUUAUAUUUUUAGCAAGUAGUAAUUUGUUAUCUGCUCAUUUAACUGUUCAAGAAUCCAUUUGCAUCACUACCUAUCCUGAAUUUUAUGGCAUGGUUUCAACACAGGUCACUCUAAGGUCAGGGGCUAUCUUGAUUACAGUCUGUUAAGGCAUGCGAUGCCGGUUGUGCUGGUAUUGUAAAUAGUUUUUUCAUUUUUCAAUUGAUAAGCAUUUUUAUUUUGUCAUUUGACAGAUAUACUUUAUUUUAUCACAUAUAACCCCGGCGGACGACGCUAGAUCUUGUUAAAAACCUAGUUCACAUCAGUCCCCGACCGAAAACAGAACCAACAAUUAACUUUAAAUACUCUAGAUCUGAUGACGGCUUUGACUCAGCAAAUAUGUUGUCUGAUAUGGGGAUUUGGAUUUGGGUUAUGAUUUUAGACAUUUUUUAGGGCUGCUUUAGUAAGUUUCAACUUAUGGAGUAAUUUAUCUUACUGUCUCAAUAAAUAAAUUUGUUCACAGGUAGUGCAGCUUUUUAGGGUUAUGAUUGGACUCAAUGGUGGGGGGUUGGGAUAAAGGUAUCAGGGCCAUACCCUUAUUGCAAUAUUGCCCUCGGCUGUGUGAGGGUGAUCUGAUUGCUACAAUAAAUAAAUUUGCUCACAGGUAUUGUGGUUUUCUUAUAUUAUUGUUGAACUAAAUGGUGGGAGGUUGGGAUGAAGGUAUCAAGGCCAUACCCUCUUCUAAGGGACAUUGAUUUACCACCUUUGGUUGAGUGGCGCAAAGGUGGAUUGUUGGGUUGGAAUCCCAACAUGAUUGGUUUGUAAAAGUCAGCAGGGUGAAAGCUGUGUAAAUGGUUGAAAGCGUGUGAUAAUGUAUUGUCUGUGCAAGUUAAAUUUUUUUAAAUUGAAGAAAUAGUACCAAUGAUACCAAUGGUACCAUCCUACCAUCCUAUUUGUAUUUAUGAUUUUGGCUUAUCUAUGUAAUUUCCAUUCAUUGACUAGCAUGCAUUAUAGGGCUAUCAUUUAAUCAUUGGGAGAAAAGUUUUCCUAAAUCAUCUAAGGGAAGUGUCAAAAGAUGAAAAACAAUAGGCUAAAGUACUAGUAUGUAUGUUUUUUACUCUUUUAAUUGCCACUAUAAUGUAAUGUUUGUGAUUAAUCUCUAUAAGACGAGAGAGAUCAUAGGUUUCCCAUAUUUAGAUGAUUAGAGUGAUUACAAUGAAUGUUCUUAAUAGGUUAGCACAAUUAUCAAUUUAUUCUAAAGUGUGUUUACUUAGCUUAGGGUAGGAAAAUGAAGAAGAACACUCAGUAAAUUUUGAACUUUGAAAAGCAAGGGGACAAAUUCGUGACUGUAAAUUUGUGAGUAUAGAAAUGUUCUGGUGUGGACCAACAGUCAAUUUCAAGUGGAAGUAGCUAACCGAUAAAUGAAGGGGACGAGUAUAAGAAUGAUAAAUAUACAAGUAAUGCAUAAAAAUGUAUGUGUCAAGAAAUAUCUUCAAAAUGAACACAACUAAAUAAAAACAAUAUGUUUACAGAUCUAAGUUAUAGUAUUUUAAUUGACCUAAGAAUUUUUUUAAUAACAUCCUAGAUUACAUAAUGAGUUACACAGCAACAGCAAAAACGAAACAGCCAGCGCAAUCAAGACCAUAUUGUAAAUUCUCAUUCUUACCCAAUCGCUUAAAACCCUAGAAACCCUGACCAAUUCGAUGUAUUAAAUCCUCACAAAUACUAGCAUGCAUGCUUCACACGAUGGAUAAUCUUUCGAAAACUUCUUUACGGCUAAUUUCAGUACCUAAAAGAUGAAUGGGUUCCCGAAAUGUAGGUCAUCUUUCUCUCUUUGCCUCUCAGAUUGAGCUCUCCAUUUCUAGCUGCUCAUUCAGAGAUGCAACAUUUCUUGUAAGUUUUCUUUUUCAAUAGCUUAAGUAAGGCAUAGGGGCCCGAGAAGCUUCGCUCUUUGGCUACUGUUAAGGCGAAUACGGUUCCCAAAAUAAAUUUAAUCUUACUGUGUCUGUUGGAAAGUAUCUACUUCCACUGGGCUGUUUAAAGAUUGAACAGUUGAACACUUUCGUGGAUUUAUUAGGGUUUUUGCAUUCUCUGACACUUUCGUGGAUUUAUUAGGGUUUUUACAUUCUAUGCGCUUCUGCAUGUUUUAUCACAACUAUCCUGAUUUUAGGUAUAGUUGAUUUAAAGAAUGAAAGUAAAAGAUAGCCGGUGUUGGACUUUUUGUGUUCUCCCGUUUCACCUAUUUAAGAACCCAUUCACUUUAAGCAAUAAGCAUUGUUGAGGAUGAAUCAGCUUUUAUGUUUUUAGUAAGUAGUAUUUUGUUAACUGUCCAUUAUUCUGUUGAAGAAUAUAUUUAAGUCGAAUGCUAGUACCUAUCCUGAAUUUCAAGGCAUGUUUCAACCCAGGUCACACUAAGGUUAGGGACUAUUUAUAGUAGUCUGGUGUGGGCAUGCAUUGCCGGGAGGGACGUUUUUUUUAAUUGAUAUUUUUUAAUUAUUCAUUUAACAAAAAUGCAUUCAUUUAUCAUAUAAAAACCGGGCAGAACACGCUGACCUUGGGGAAAACCAAGUUCAUAGCAGUCCUCGACUGAGAACAGAACCAACAGUUAUCUUAAACACCCUAGAUCUGAUAAAACGGUUUUUGUUGAUUGAUAUGGGGAUCCCCAUUAGGGUUACGGAAGAAUUUAACUUACUGCCACAAUAAUCAAAUUUGUUCGGGUGUUGUGGUUUUUAAGGCUUAUUGUUGAACUCAAUGGUGGGAGAUUGCAAUAAAGUUAUUAGGGCCAUAACACUAGCGCCAUAACCUUCUGUUAAGCGACGUUGAUGUAUCGCCCUCGGAGGUGUGAGGGCAAAGGUGGUUGGGUUGGAAUAUCAACACGAUUGGUUUGUAUAAGUUUAUAAAAGUCAACAGGGAAGCACUGAAAGCUUCAUGCAAAUGUUUGAAGCAAUAAGCUCAAUUUCUUCUAGUUUAAAUAACAGUAACAAUGAGAAUUCUAAUGGUAUCCUGCUUGCAUUUAUGAUAAUGUCUUAUUAAUUUUUUUGCGUUAAUCAAUUGUAGCUUUUCGUACUAUGUUUGCACGAUCAAAAAUUUCUUGGAAGAACUGAAAAUUCUGAGGGGCUUUGUAAAAUUCUGAAAAUUUGUUACCUUGGAGUUAUUGCCCUUACGUAAUCAUAUGUGCAAAUUUUGCACUCGAUGCAUUCUGUUCGGUCUUCUAUUGAGAUGUUUUUCAUUUCUUCAAAUUCAAAUGUAAAUGCCAUCUUAUUUUGUUGGCCUGUAAAGGUGUUCGAAGCUUAUGUUUUUUUCUCCAAAGGGGACAGCUAUAUAAAAUAUAGGGAAAAUUUAAAAUAUAUAGGAAAAUUCUAAAUGUUCGUAUGAAAACAUGGAUAAAGCAUGCAUAUAUACAUUAUAUUCAUACAAAAACAUGGAUAUAGCAUGUGUAUGACACUAUGAAAACAUUUUAGAAUGUAAAUUCUGAACAUACAACAUUGUCAAUACUCUUAUGCAUUCAUAAUUCAGAAUUUCAAUUCAUUCAUAUUGUCAAUAUGCAUAUCAUAAUAGAUAUUAAAGAAAUAACAUACAAAAUGUCAAAAUGUCUGAAAGCUACACCGCUGCCAUAUAGUUAGCGGAGUUUAAUUUGGGCAACAAAAAAAGUGGUCAGUGUUAUAAAAAUUGCAAUAUAUUGCCUCGAACCUUUUGGCCUGUUGGAAGCGUAAUCGAUUUCUAGUGGGUGAUAUAAGCUGUAUCUGUUUUGUGUAACUAUGCACUUAUUCAUCUAUUCCUUUAGAAUGAAGAUGGGUUCUUUUUGAUCAAAUGUAAACAUGUCCAAGAAAAGUGUGGUGUAACGUAACCAUUACAAUUUCUUAUCAUAUGUUGGCACCAACUCUUUUGGCCGUUUUUGGAAGAAGCAUGAUACCUCGUUCAAGGGUUCUCUCAAUGGGUAAUUCAAGAUGAGUUUGUUAUUGGAAGAUUUUACUUUUAAGGUUGUGGCCAGUUGGGUUUCCUAGGGAAAAUUAGGAAAAUAUCAUGUUCCUAGCAAAGCCUAUUAGCAUUAUCUUGGUGCUGCUUAUUAAUAGUCUGGAGUUAUGAUAGGCCACCCUUCCCAAAAUUGCUUCUCCUCAAGCAAUUGCUCUUGGAGUUAACAGGAUCUCAACUCAACCUGUAGAUUUGUAAUUUUCAGUCAUUGAUCAUGUUUAGGUAAGUAAUACAAUAACAUUCUUUUAGUUAAUGUGAAAUGAGAAUGUAACGGCCUAAUUUAGAAACUGGCAUGGAAAAGUCAAAGAUCAAUUAUUUAUUAAUAAGAUGGGUUUCUUACUGCAAGAUAGAUGCAUCAUAUCCAUAGCAGAAAGGUUUUGUGUUGGAUUGGCAUAUCAUAGACAAAUAGUUCAAUACUACCAUCUAUGAGAGAUGAGAAAAACAUCAAAUAAUUUUUAUUGAAAGAAUUGUCUUAAUUAAUAUGCGAGAUGUAUCUAUAAUGACAUCGAAAUGUCGGAAAACAAAAAUUCAAUUUUGAAACAAUUUGACACUCAAAUAAAGGGUAAUUGCAUGAUAUAUGCCAUCUUUUGGUUUUUGUGGUGUUAUUUAAUUACUCCAAAUAAAGUAGAACAUCAAAAUGUCCGUAAACAAAAAUUCAAUGCAAAUGAAUGGGUAGAUGCAUGAAAUAUGCCAUCUUUUGGUUUUUGUGGAGGUUAUUACUUUACUCCAAAUAAAGUUGUGGUGUUAUUUAAUUACUUCAAAUAAAGUAGAACAUCAAAACAUCUGUAAACAACAAUUUAAUGCAAAUGAUGGGUAAAUGCAUGAAAUAUGCCAUCUUCUGGUUUUUGUGGAGGUGUUAUUACUUUACUCCAAAUAAAGUAGAACCCUCACCACGUGUCUCCACUAUAGGAAACCGUUACAUUCAAAUGAUAGUGGAAGAGUACCAUAAUAUUUAAAAGAGAACAAUCAAUAAAAUUAUUAUUCAUAUUUUUGAAACUCUUGUAUAUUAGUAAUAUAGUUGCAAUCGGUCAGAUUCCCUUCUAUUAUAUCUGCAUAAUUUAUCUAUAAUUUUAAAAUAUAGAUAUACUAGUUAUAUAGCACCACAAGUAAUGAGCUACUGGGGAAUGAUUUUAUUGAAAAAGUAGAUGUAGUCGAUAUAUUUUAGUUUUUGUUGCAACCUUGUCAUGGAUAAAGGCUGGUCGUUAUAUGUUAGUGGUAGCGCAUUGGCCAAAGCCAUGUAUUACCAAGAAGCCCUCCUAAAUGCUACUAGACAACUAUAUUUUAUUGCUUCAGUUUGGCCAUAUCGCAAGCCUUCAUUGGUCUGCAUUCCGGCUUAAAAUAUAGGAUAUAACAUCCUUUCAGUGAAUCUGCUUUGCUCUGCAUUAUGUGAGGUGCUGUAUGCAAUGCCUAUCAAAUAGGACGCUCUUGAAUUGAUUCUAUUUUGUUAUGUACUUUGAUUGGUGGAGCAUCAGUUGGACAUCCUACUACAAUGGGGUGGAGCAUUAGAUGGACGUCUGGCAGGCGAAAGUUGUAGACAGAGAAUUCAUCGCGGAAGGGUUCAUGUAUGUCUAUAUUGAAGUUAUUCAAAGGCCUAUUGCUGGUCAAUCAAAGGCUGACCUUUUCCUUAUUGUGUGGUGAGAGGCAUACCCAGGAUAAGCUGCACAUUCAAUUAUUCACUAGAUCUUUACAUUAUGAAGUUUUGUGAAAUAAACUCAGAUAUAUAGAUUCCGCCCUUGAUAUAUUUAAGUGACAAUCUCUAAAAGGAGAGGUGCUGUGCUCUACGAUUCCUUUAUUUAAUAAAGUAUUUAAUGUGCUUUGUCAUUGUCUACUAUGGAGGUUUAUUCAGUAAGGACAUGUCAAGGUGGCAUGGAACAAGGUGUAAUUCGAUGUUGUGGUGAUUAGAAAAAAUAGCAUCAUAGCAAAAUUGCAUUGUAUUUGGUUUCUGCUUCGAUUAUUUGUUUAGUGAUAAUUGGUGCCAUACUGAUGGUGAGUAUGUAUCCUGGGAACACUUUAAAGUGGUUGAAAGAUAACCUUCCUGAAGAUGUGUGAUAAGUUGAUGUGUAUCUUAUUCACCUUCAUUGUUUGCACAACAAUGGUGACAAUGAACGCAAUGGGAGUUAAUUUGUCCAAUCCAAAAAAUGCAGUGUUGUUUGCAACAGAUGGGUAAAUAAUCAGCAUUAGAUCUGAUCUGUGGUUAUGAUGGGUAAUCCAUUUUAGCUUAUCAACGUUAAUCUAUAAAAACUAGAAUUUGAUUGAUCGAUUCGGAUUGUUGCUGUUUAUUAAUGAUUCUAUUUGAAAUUUGAAAUUUAUGUUUUA